ACGAUCAUAGUGUAAUGGUAACAUAGGAGACUGUGGAUCUCCAGUCGCGGGUUCGAUUCCCGCUGAUCGUC
rnacentral:tRNA from 1 species